rnacentral:rRNA from 1 species
GAUGAACGCUGGCGGCGUGCCUAAUACAUGCAAGUCGAGCGAACGGACGAGAAGCUUGCUUCUCUGAUGUUAGCGGCGGACGGGUGAGUAACACGUGGAUAACCUACCUAUAAGACUGGGAUAACUUCGGGAAACCGGAGCUAAUACCGGAUGAUAUUUUGAACCGCAUGGUUCAAAAGUGAAAGACGGUCUUGCUGUCACUUAUAGAUGGAUCCGCGCUGCAUUAGCUAGUUGGUAAGGUAACGGCUUACCAAGGCAACGAUGCAUAGCCGACCUGAGAGGGUGGUCGGCCACACUGGAACGGAGACACGGUCCAGACUCCUACGGGAGGCAGCAGUAGGGAAUCUGCCGCAAUGGGCGAAAGCCUGACGGAGCAACGCCGCGUGAGUGAUGAAGGUCUUCGGAUCGUAAAACUCUGUUAUUAGGUAAGAACAUAUUUGUAAGUAACUGUGCACAUCUUGACGGUACCUAAUCAGAAAGCCACGGCUAACUACGUG